AUUCAGUGUCCAUUUUGAUUUCUGAAAUCUGAAGCUCUCCUUCUCCCUCGAAUAACUCGAUUCCUUCUCCUUCUCCUUCGACCUCAAUCCCUUCUCCUUCUCCCUCGAUUCCUUUUCCUUCUCCCUCGAUUUCUUCCUUCUCCUUCUUCCUCGAUUUCUCCCUCGAUUAACUGUAGAAUCUCCCUCGAUUUCUCCCUCGAUUCCUUCCAGUUCGAUACCAGUACCGGCUGUGCUUCUGCGCUUCUUCGAGGCUUUGACGCUCCUCCUUCAACACUUCACCACGGAAUCAAGUGUAGAAUCUCGUAAUGAUCUGAAAGAUUAGAGUUGGUCUUAAGCUUGUUGAAUCUUUCAUUGAAUACCUUCGACCGUUAGCCUUCACUUGGAAGAACAAUGAAAAAAGAAAGCAAAAAGAAACUAAUAGUUUUCCCGUGGGGCUCCUUCAACUUAUUCUCAGGAGAGCAUUAAUCAAGUUCAAGAUUUAUGGAUUUCUUAUGUUGUCAAAAAUAGGCAACAAAAAUUAGAGAAGGAAGCAGAAGAUUUGGAUGAUGUGUUAUAAGAUCAUAUCGAUGGAAAUUAUUAAAGAUUAGAAUUCAUGAAGAAUUUUGAUGACAUUUGACUUUUGGAAUAAAAUAAUUGUAUAGUUGAAUCCUAGUUUAAUUAUAUGAUGAAAUGGUUUAUAAUUUUUGCUGUUGGUAUAGUAUGUAUGAACACGUAUAUUUAAUGGUAUAUAUGAAUUAGUACAAAUUAUAUCGUAUUGGUAUUUUUAUUUAUUAAUAUAGGUCUUUUGUCAUAUAAAUGGUGGUUUAAAAAUAAAAGAAAAUUGCAAUUGUACAGCUUUUUUAUUAGUAGUUAUUGACAGGGGCAAAGAGAACACCUC